UUGAGUUCAUGAAUCAGCGGUUG
rnacentral:siRNA from 1 species